AUGCCGUCCAGACUGCUGGCUGUGUUGUGCACAGUGGCGGCCUUCAUCCACCUUGGUUCCAGCAAUACGGACAAGGUCCGUCAAUCUCAGAGUGCUGUGUCUGCCGAGGAGGGAAAGUCUGUGACCUUGGACUGCAGCUUCACGCUCAACUUUAACUACUAUGUGAUGAACUGGUAUCACCAGCCUCCCCAUGGAAAGAUGACUGGAAUCAUUAGUAUGUUCUCUGAUACGAGCAGCAAUAGGGAAGGACGAUAUAAACUGUCGUUUCAGAAAGGAAACAAAAUCCUAAAGCUCACCAUCACAGGCUUGAUGCCUGAAGACACAGGCAUCUAUUUCUGUGCUAUUGGAGAAAGUACACGGUGA